UACGUAGGUGGCGAGCGUUAUCCGGAAUUACUGGGCGUAAAGGGCGCGUAGGCGGCCUGCUAAGUCGAACGUGAAAUCCCCGAGCUCAACUCGGGAACUGCGUCCGAUACUGGCAGGCUUGAAUCCGGGAGAGGGAUGCGGAAUUCCAGGUGUAGCGGUGAAAUGCGUAGAUAUCUGGAGGAACACCGGUGGCGAAGGCGGCAUCCUGGACCGGCAUUGACGCUGAAGCGCGAAAGCCAGGGGAGCAAACGGG
rnacentral:rRNA from 1 species